AUCAUUGAAAUCAAAACAACUUCCACUAUUUCAGGCUUACAUGAACUACAAGAGAAAGAGCACUGUCGGAUGGAGCAUAGGCAACAUAUUUUUAGAUUUCACAGGAGGCGCUUUAAGCAUGUUGCAAAUGAUUGUUGACGCUUACAAUUACGAUGACUGGGUAUCGAUUUUUGGAGACCCAACCAAAUUUGGACUUGGUUUGUUUUCUGUUGUAUUCGAUAUCUUUUUCAUUGUUCAACAUUAUAUACUGUACAGGCAUUCGAAUUACGCAGAAAACUAAUUGUUUUAAUUUUUUUCAGUAUUUAUUUUUAUAUUUUUAACUUGUUCACUAUUAAAUGAAUUUUUUUCUUAUA